GUCGGCAUUGAGCAGACACCUGCAGCAGGUGGGGGAGCAAGUCACAGGCCUGCCUGGGGCAGAGCAGAGCCAGAGCCAGCACAGGGGAGGUGGGUCCUGAUGAGCCUAAGCCAAUUAGAACACAGCAUUCCUCUCCCAAUGGCCCAGGAUGGACGCAUGGACAAACGGGCCAGCCAGAUGGACAACAGCAUCCGACUUCACCACGGAUGUGAAUGUUGAGAACGAAGACUAUUACCCAGAAUGCCACCGGCAGCAGCCUGGGACAGAGGAGACCACCAGGAAUGGAGCUGAGCCUGAGGCCAGUGGCCGAGGACCUUGGGGACUUCUCUGAGCUAGUCCGCAAGGCUUCCUGGUUAAGCUAAUCUGGGGUGGAAUUUUCCAUCACUUGCAGUCAAAACAAUCCUGAUACAGACGGUAAGUUUUCAACCACGUGGGGAUGCCCGAGGCCACCAGCACUGCCGGUGUCAUGUGGACAAAAGCCUGCAGCUGGCGGGCUGGUGGGAAAAGCGGAUUGUAGGAGCAAAGUCAAGCACGAGGCCGGGAAAUGACCUUGGAUGCUUCUUCCAUCUGAGGCCCAGUGCUUCUCUUAUCUGCCAGAGGGAAGCGCCCCAGUUCUGCCGAAGAAACGACGUUCUUGUCCCCUUACACUUCAUCCGGAAGGGCCUUGCACAAUGCAUCGCGAAGAGCACCCUUGGUAGCGGUUUUAUAAAAGUUGUUGAAACUUCCCCGGGCCCUCCUGCCCUUUCCCUCCUUCCUCCCGGGACCUGCCAGCUUCGUGGGCUGAGGGGAGGGCCGCAGGCUCCUUGCAGAGCUCAUUAAGGGUUGCUUUGUUGUCGUCCAGAGCAACCCUCCGUGAGUCUCCCCUUUGGGGUCACCUCGGUUGACUUGGAGGGGUAUAAUUUAUUCACCAUGAAAUGACCCCCCCUCUCCCGCCCAGUGACAGGCUCUGACAAAGAGCCCGGCUCUCCCAGGUCUCUGCCCAGCACCCCGUCUGUCUGGGCUCCCACGCGGAGUGUCCCGGCCUUGGACUUGACUGGCUCUGCCUCCCUGUCAGCACAGCUCAGCUCAGCGGCUCCACCCGAGGCUCUAACAACUGUGGGACUAAAGUAAGGCUUGGUGCCUCCCAGGCAGGAUUGAAUUCCAGAUCAUUCAGAAUAAAAACACACUCAGCCAAGCAAACAAAGCAGAUGCUCCCUCAGCCCUGUUUAUUAUUUCAACCUCAGCCUGGACAUUUCGUUGCUUCGGGACAUGUCUGCAGGCAAGCUGCCCAGAGUCCCUCCUUCCCAUUGUUCUGGGGGAGAGGGGAGGGCAUCAGCCUUGGGCUUUCAUGGCAAGGACACACAAACAACCCAACAUGAGAAAAAGACAGAGAGCCAGGAGGCCCAGGCUCCACUUCCGGCUGGGGAUGGACCUCCCGGGUGACCCUGGGCAGGGCAAGUUCCUUCUCUGAGCUCUUAGCUUCAAAAACUAACCCUGCUAAGCACAGAGGGGAUAAGUGGUGAAGGAAAAAGAAAACACUAACCAUGCUCGCUUAGGUUAUCAAAGUAAACCGAGGGCAGCACUGACCACAUUAGCCAAGACGGGAAACAACCUAAGUGUCCAUCAGUGGAUGAAUGCGUAAACAAGAUGUGAUUUGCCGCAAGAAAGAAGGACACAACAUGGAUGCUUCUUUAGGACGUUAUGUUACGUGAAAUAAGCCGGACAGAAAGUGGCUAAUACUGCGUGGCCUCACUUAUACGUGGAAUCUAAAAAAGCCAAACUCAUAGAAGCC